GAUUUUCACCACCCUUCCACCACCCCCCUUGCUACCCUAAAUAUAGUUAUUUAGGGUAGCAAGGGGGGUGGUGGAAGGGGGGAAGAGGGGA